UGCCAGCAGCCGCGGUAAUACGGAGGGUGCAAGCGUUGCUCGGAAUCACUGGGCGUAAAGCGAACGCAGGCGGAUCGUUAAGUUGGGUGUGAAAGCCCGGGGCUCAACCCCGGAACUGCAUUCAAAACUGGCGGUCUUGAGUACGGGAGGGGGAAGUGGAAUUCCUGGUGUAGAGGUGAAAUUCGUAGAUAUCAGGAGGAACACCUGUGGCGAAAGCGACUUCCUGGCCCGAAACUGACGCUCAUGUUCGAAAGCGUGGGGAGCAGACAGGAUUAGAUA
rnacentral:rRNA from 1 species